rnacentral:rRNA from 1 species
UACGGGGGGGGGCAAGCGUUGUUCGGAAUUACUGGGCGUAAAGGGCUCGUAGGCGGCCAACUAAGUCGGAUGUGAAAUCCCCAGGCUUAACCUGGGAACUGCAUCCGAUACUGGAUGGCUUGAAUCCGGGAGAGGGAUGCGGAAUUCCAGGUGUAGCGGUGAAAUGCGUAGAUAUCUGGAGGAACACCGGUGGCGAAGGCGGCAUCCUGGACCGGCAUUGACGCUGAGGAGCGAAAGCCAGGGGAGCAAAACGGGG